CACUUCUGUUCUCUGUCCCUUAUACCAUAUUUUUGCAUGUCACCUUUCUAGAGUAAAGGCUAGAAUUUGGCAUCUGUAUCUCUUUAAAAACUGAAACUUAAUUGCAUUAUAACGCCAGUUGCAAUAUGGCUUCAAGUGGUUGUUGUGUUAGUUAGAUUUCUUCUGGAACAGCAACAACAACAAAAAAAUCCUGUACUGAAUGAAAAUGAGUUGUUAAAGAAAUGUGAAAAUAAUCAAAUGAAGGAAAACUAACGAAAAAAGUUCACAGAGCAGAAAUCUGAAGAAAAUGAAGUUGUUGACAUAAGGAACCAGUGCUACAGCUGAAGCAACAGUGCAGAACUACUUUCUUCAAGAAGUGUGGUAAUUGGAAAGAUUCAGAGGCUGUUACUUAAUGCUACUUACUGUAGAAGACUGCCUGCUGAAUAUGUUUUUCCUGCGUGAAACCACAGGCUUGGAGAAGCUAUGAGGUGCAUGGCCUCCAUCAGGACACGCUGCCAAAGCCAGAUAGUAAUAAAACAACAACAAGUUUCAUGUACUACCACGAAAUAAAAGAUGACAACAGCCCAUACAAUAUUUAUACUACAAUUCAUUGAUGUUUAACAGAGAUCAGGAAGGAAGGUCCAACCACUGCACAGUUCUGGAAGAAAUAGGUCAGAAGCAGAUGACAGAAGGGUGUUGGUAGCACAUGUGCAACAGAACUGCAGCCACAGCAUCCUGGAAGAGGUGCUCAUGGGAGGUAAGAGCUCCUGCUUCUGGACACCUGUUUUUUGCUAAACUCAACUUAGAAAAAGUACUGCUGAAUCUUUUGGCCUCUUUGAGAAGUACUGUAAUUCCAGUACACCGAAUUUGUACCAGCAAAGGUAAUCUCCCAUUUGCAAAGAGAAAUGCAAUCCACUUAACCAUCGAGUGGCCAUGCUGUGAUUCAGCAUGCUGAACAGUAGCAGGAACUGAUUGAACACUUCCUUUCCAGGCUCUUUCACUCACAGUGCCUCUUUUCCCAGUAUUGCAUGCUUUGCUCACACAGUAACAAUCCCUGUUUGAAGCAUAACUUCUAAGUGAGCAACUGCUGAAGCUUUAUGUCUGUGUAGAUAACAAAAUGAAGAUCUGAAGGUAUGGUGCAGAAACAUCAGAACCAGCGCCUUCAAUUGUAAGCUGCCGCAGGCUGUGUAGGAGUGCAAAGGGGUGAAACCAUGGCUGACCACAGUAUUUGACUAAAGAGACGAAAGUAAUGGAGGAAAAAAGUGUCUUGAGAGCAAAACAGAUUUGUUUUAAAAUCCUUUCCAUUAUACAUUAAAAAUACUACAUAGCAGUGCUAUGGAAAACCAUUCAUACGUAUUAGAGCAAAACUGUUGGGUUACAUCUUUGUAACCAAGUAAUUUCGUUGAGAACAAGAGCUGUUCCUAGCUCAUACUUGUGUAACUGAAGUAGAUUCUGAGUAUUUAUUUAAAAUGCAACCUGAGGCUAUUAGUUUUGUAAUAAACCUUUACAAUAUCUAGGAAAAAAACCCACUCAAUUUAAAUAUCUCAAAUCACUUCUUCAAGAAGCAUCUUCAGUGCUAAAAACACAUAAACAUAAGAACAUAUUGCUAAAUACAGUGAAAAUACAGAAAUAGCCACACAAACACUAUGCUAUGGAAAUAUUUUAAUUCCAAAUGGAAUGUAUUUGAUGAAAUAAACAUUUCUGCUAUAUUCUGUUUCUAAAGAGAAUGCCCAUUAAUACAAAAUCAAAGAAAGAUAAACCAUAGUCUUCUUUAUAGAGGGAGUUCUUUUCAGCUACAGGUCCAGAACACAGACAAGCUAAAAUGGAAGCAAAACCGGUGCUGGAUCAAUUCCAACACUUGCAGAUCUCCCAUUUAAAUAAUUAUUUUUGAGGUAAAAAUCAGAAUUUCUAUUUCUGUAUGCAAACAAAGUAGAUUUUACUGUAUAAUUAUCAAAUCAGUGAACAAGAACUAUUAUGUGAGAUAAACUUUGUUUGUCCAGACCAUAGCCAAUGAGUGAUGAACAAGUAUUCAAUUUAUUUUCAAUGUCAUCACUACUUCUGCUUAUUUAAUUUUUAGAAAGUCUCCAGCAAUAGAUUUGCAUUAGAUGUGCAUUAGACCACAAGCAAUACAUUAAAACAGAAUUUUCUAAUUCCUAGGUCUGCAAGAAAAAAAAUUCUCUGCCAGUUGAGUUUGCUCUGGUCAGAGCUGACUGAAACACUGUUUGUUCUUUAAGAAGUUACCAUGCAAAACGUGCGUGUAUCUUCAUGCUCUCCUUGUAACCUGAGGAAGCACCAAUAUAAAGCAACAUAUCAGAGGUAAUUUUGCAUACACUAAUUAAUAUUCAGCGUUAUAAUAAUACACUAAACUAAUUACUGCAUCUACGAAGAUGUGUUUAAAAAAUCUGCCAUUCUGAUCCUGCUCACCUUGCUUUUAGAGCUUACAAUAGUGUGCUAAAAUAGUGUACUAAAAUCGUGCUCAUCAGCAAGAGCAAUCCGACUGUUCCUAAUCUUAAUGUAAAUCAGUAAAACUGCUAAUGAAGGCUCAUUGAAUUUGGCAAAAGCUUGAAAUCCCAGCACUGGAUGCAAAACCCUUUCCAUCUAAAGCAGCUGAAAUAUAGGAAGAGUCUGGAACAAAACAAAAGGAUAAAACUGUAACACAAGCAUGUGCUAAUGCUCUGCAGCUGCUGGUAUUUGAAUGCCAUCCUGUAAGUUUCUCCACACCUCUGACAGCCAACUUAUAUGAUCUUUGAGGACAUGAGAUUAAGUUCCACUUUAAUUGCAUAGCACAGAAUGUAGAAGCAACUACCAUUUACGUUAACUGUAUCCUAACAAAUACUGCAUAUGGAAACAUAAUACUGUAUAUUAAAAUUGUUUCUUUCAUCAAUUUAAAAUUUCACAUUUGGUCUCCAGUAACUAGGAAAAAGCCACUAAAAAUAUUUCUUAAGUCUAUUCCUGAGCAUUGUUUUCGUGUAAAAUACUCUGGUUUAUUACUACAUUUAUCAAUAUUCUCACAUUUUAAACUAUAUAUAAAUCCAUGCUUGGAAAUUUUACAAAGCUGAAGACCUAGUAGACACAAUGAAAGAACAGAAACAGCUAAGCAUCUUAAGACCAAGAGAGAUGAGAUCACCAAGACAAGUGCAGUUUAACUAUGUACAUAGUAUAUCUUUAGUAACUGAUGGUUUCUCACUAGCUAUAGGAAUGAGAAGGAUCCACUUGUAAAAAUCCAGUCUGCCAGACCUCAGCUUACUUCUCAUCAACAGUUCACUGUGACAGGUGGCUGACGAUGAACAAAUGGUGUUCAGUAUUUCAUUUAAAAAUCAAAUUUCAAAACAAUUUCUAGAUUUUCAACAAGAUAGUCCCCAGCUAAAAGCUGAACUGACACUUGAAUACUCGCUGAAUUACUUUCAUAUUCUCCUGUAUCCCAGACACAAGAAGAAUCAGAGGGUCUAAGGACAGAACUCAACUCUGGCUGAACAAUUUUAUGGUAUUUCCCCAUGCCACUUGUCUAAAUCUUCAGAUAAGAAGCAAAUCAAACUGACACAGGCUGGGCCAUGGAAUAGAGAAUAGUCAUCACAGGUGGCUAAGAAUAGGUAUUUUUUGUAUCAAAAUAUAUCUUUGCUUGAACUUACAUUGGUCUUCAAGCUCAUAACCUAAGAGUCUAUUUUCUGGAUUUUGAGAGCUUACCAGUUUUGAACAUUAGGUCACAGAUUGUGCAGCAAUAUUUUCAUUUGGCAUUAGUCAUCAAUAUCCACGUGCAAUUUGAAAUAUUCAAGGUUUACAAAAUGAACAUGAAGGAACGCUGUCUGUAAACAGUGAAGUUUUCUGGGUAUAAAAAUAUGCAUUUGAUUUUAUUAAUCUGCCACUAUUGAAGCUGCCUGCUCUCUAACAAAUGUCUGUCUUUAAAAAAAUCCUUUUAGUAUUAAAAUAUUCCAGUACAUUAUCUCCAUUCUUCUUCCUAGCAAAAAAAACACAUCCAAUUCAUCCAAAAAUUCAUCAUCUCCUAUGAAGAAUUAGUUUCACUUUGCAUAGAUAAGCUGCUCCAUUAUUUUAUAAAAACAAUUGAGCCCUUUCCCAUCAGAACAAAACACUAUGAAACCUGUCACAAAAUAACAUCUCUUUUAAAGAGCUCAGAUCCUAUUCUCUCAAAUGCACAAAAAGGAGUGCAGAAGAAACACUACAGACU